rnacentral:rRNA from 1 species
GACAGAGGGUGCAAACGUUGUUCGGAAUCAUUGGGCGUAAAGCGCACGUAGGCGGUCGUGACAAGUCACUUGUGAAAUCUCCGGGCUUAACUCGGAACGGUCAAGUGAUACUGUCGGACUAGAGUACAGAAGGGGCAACUGGAAUUCUCGGUAUAGCGGUGAAAUGCGUAGAUAUCGAGAGGAACACCUGCGGCGAAGGCGGGUUGCUGGGCUGAUACUGACGCUGAGGCGCGAAAGCCAGGGGAGCGAACGGG